rnacentral:misc_RNA from 1 species
GAUGAAGAACGUAGCGAAAUGCGAUAAGUAAUGUGAAUUGCAGAAUUCAGUGAAUCAUCGAGUCUUUGAACGCACAUUGCGCCCUCUGGUAUUCCGGGGGGCAUGCCUGUCCGAGCGUCAUUGCUGCCCUCAAGCACGGCUUGUGUGUUGGGCCCCCGCCCCCCGGUCCCGGGGGGCGGGCCCGAAAGGCAGCGGCGGCACCGCGUCCGGUCCUCGAGCGUAUGGGGCUUUGUCACCCGCUCUGUAGGCCCGGCCGGCGCCCGCCGGCGACCCCAAUCAAUCUUUUUCAGGUUGACCUCGGAUCAGGUAGGGAUACCCGCUGAACUUAAGCAUAUCAAUAAGCGGAGGA